UCUUUUACCCAAACAUGGGGCCUGUCAGAGAUUUAAUAACCUUAUGUUGAACCUGUGUGUCUAGAAGUUCUAAUUGUGCGGAAAUUUGCCCUUUUCUCAACAAUACGGGCUAGAGAGGCACAACUUACUAGACGGCGUCAUAGAGACAAGGUUAACAUAAGUGUAUUGAACUCGACUGUACCUCCAUUUUGGAACCAAGUCAAGAAAUUAAAAAGAUUCUUUUAUAUUUUGAUAGAGUCUGGAGCUUUCAUAGUUAACAUGUCAGCGAAGUU
rnacentral:lncRNA from 1 species